AUACGUAGGGGGCGAGCGUUGUCCGGAAUGAUUGGGCGUAAAGGGCGCGUAGGCGGCCCGGUAAGUCUGGAGUGAAAGUCCUGUUUUUAAGAUGGGAAUUGCUUUGGAUACUGUCGGGCUUGAGUGCAGGAGAGGUAAGUGGAAUUCCCAGUGUAGCGGUGAAAUGCGUAGAGAUUGGGAGGAACACCAGUGGCGAAGGCGACUUACUGGACUGUAACUGACGCUGAGGAGCGAAAGUGUGGGGAGCAAACAGGAUUAGAUACCCUGGUAGUCCACACUGUAAACGAUGAAUGCUAGGUGUAGGGGGUAUCGACCCCUUCUGUGCCGCAGUCAACACAAUAAGCAUUCCGCCUGGGGAGUACGGCCGCAAGGUUGAAACUCAAAGGAAUUGACGGGG
rnacentral:rRNA from 1 species